AUAUUACUCCCUUCGUCCCAAAAUUCUUGUCUUAGAUUUAUCUACAUAUGGAUGUAUCUAGUCAUGGUUUAAUGUUAGAUAAAUCUGUAUCUAAACAAAUCUAAGACAAGAAUUUUGGGACGGAGGGAGUAUCCA
rfam:Triticum aestivum genome assembly, contig: Triticum_aestivum_CS42_TGACv1_scaffold_557185_7AL